UUAAAAAAAUAAGCUAUUAAGGGCUAAUGGUGGAUGCCUAGACUGUAAGAGGCGAAGAAGGACGUACUAGACUGCGAAAAGUCACGAGGAGCUGUCAAGAAGCAUUGAUUCGUGAAUAUCCGAAUGGGACAACCCAGUAUAUAGAGAUAUAUAUUACCCAGCAAUGGGGGCUAACGUGGUGAAGUGAAACAUCUCAGUAACCAUAGGAAGAGAAAUCAAAAGAGAUUCCCAAAGUAGCGGCGAGCGAAAUGGGACCAGGGCAAACCCUAUGCUUGCAUAGGGGGUUGAAGGACCAUAAUAUGAGACUAAAGAUAAUAGUAGAGAUAUCUGGAAAGGUAUAGCAAAGAAGGUGAAACUCCUGUAUACAAAAUUAUCAAUAGCUCUAAUGGUAUCCUGAGUAGGACGGAACACGUGAUAUUUUGUCUGAAUCCGGGGGGACCACCCUCCAACCCUAAAUACUACUUACAGAUCGAUAGUGAACAAGUACCGUGAGGGAAAGGUGAAAAGUACUCCAGCGAGGAGAGUGAAAUAGAACCUGAAACCAUUAGCUUACAAUCAUUCAGAGCCCUAUGUGAAUUUAUUCACAGGGUGAUGGACUGCCUUUUGCAUAAUGAGCCUGCGAGUUGUGGUAUCUGGCAAGGUUAAGUCAAGUACGAAGCCGUAGCGAAAGCGAGUCUUAAAAGGCGAAAUAGUCAGAUGCUGCAGACCCGAAACGAAGUGAUCUAUCCAUGGGCAGGUUGAAGCUGGUGUAAGAGCCAGUGGAGGACCGAACCGAUGGGCGUUGAAAAGCCCCCGGAUGACCUGUGGAUAGGGGUGAAAGGCCAAUCAAACUUCGUGAUAGCUGGUUCUCUCCGAAAUAUAUUUAGGUAUAGCCUCUAGUAGUAGCAUGUAGGGGUAGAGCACUGAAUGGGCUAGGGCUGCUUACCGCGGUACCAAACCCUAUCAAACUUCGAAUACUACAUGUGCAAGCUAGGGAGUCAGGCGUAGGGUGAUAAAAUCCUAUGUCGAGAGGGGAACAACCCAGACUAACAGCUAAGGUCCCAAAGUUACAUCUAAGUGGAAAACGAUGUGGAGUUACUGUGACAACCAGGAGGUUGGCUUAGAAGCAGCCAUCCUUUAAAGAAAGCGUAACAGCUCACUGGUCUAGUGAUUCUGCGCGGAAAAUAUAACGGGGCUAAGAUGUACACCGAAGCUUUAGAUUCAUAAUUUAUUAUGAGUGGUAGGAGAGCGUUCUAUUCAGCGUCGAAGCUGUACCGGUAAGGAGCAGUGGAGCGGAUAGAAGUGAGCAUGCAGGCAUGAGUAGCGAUAAUUAAGGUGAGAAUCCUUAACGCCGAAAACCCAAGGUUUCCUACGCGAUGCUCGUCAUCGUAGGGUUAGUCGGGUCCUAAGUCGAGUCCGAAAGGGGUAGACGAUGGAAAAUUGGUUAAUAUUCCAAUACCAACAAUUAAGCGCGAUGUGGGGACGCAUAGAGUUAAUCGAGCUCACUGAUGGAAUAGUGGGUCGAAGGACGUAGGUUGAUACUUAGGUAAAUCCGGGUAUCACGAGACCGAGAUCUAACAGGCUGAACAAUCUCUUCGGAGAGCGUUUAGAAUCGAUGAUACUGUCGUGCCAAGAAAAGCCACUAAGUAUAUUAAUUGUUGCCCGUACCGCAAACCGACACAGGUAGGUGGGAUGAGUAUUCUAAGGCGCGUGGAAGAACCCUGGUUAAGGAACUCUGCAAACUAGCACCGUAUCUUCGGUAUAAGGUGUGCCUACUUUGGUAUAGAGAUUUACUCUCAAAAGCUAAAGAGGUUGCAACAAAGAGUCCCUCCCGACUGUUUACCAAAAACACAGCACUUUGCUAACACGUAAGUGGAUGUAUAAGGUGUGACGCCUGCCCGGUGCUCGAAGGUUAAUUGAUGAUGUAAGCGUAAGCGAAGCAUUUGAUCGAAGCCCGAGUAAACGGCGGCCGUAACUAUAACGGUCCUAAGGUAGCGAAAUUCCUUGUCGGUUAAAUACCGACCUGCAUGAAUGGCGUAACGAGAUGGGAGCUGUCUCAACCAGGGAUCCAGUGAAAUUGUAGUGGAGGUGAAAAUUCCUCCUACCCGCGGAAAGACGGAAAGACCCCGUGCACCUUUACUACAGCUUGACACUGUAGCUUGGAUAUUCAUGUGCAGGAUAGGUGGGAGGCUUUGAUUACUAGACGCAAGUAGAGUAUGAGCCACCCUUGAGAUACCACCCUUGAAUAUUUGAGUUACUAACUGCGUACAAUAAACUUGUAUCAGGACAAUGUCUGGUGGGUAGUUUGACUGGGGCGGUCGCCUCCUAAAAAGUAACGGAGGCUUACAAAGGUUAGUUCAAGGCGGAUGGAAAUCGCCUGAUGAGUAUAAUGGCAUAAACUAGCUUGACUGUGAGAGAGACAACUCGAGCAGAGACGAAAGUCGGUCAUAGUGAUCCGGUGGUUCUGAGUGGAAGGGCCAUCGCUCAAAGGAUAAAAGGUACGCCGGGGAUAACAGGCUGAUCUCCCCCAAGAGCUCACAUCGACGGGGAGGUUUGGCACCUCGAUGUCGGCUCAUCGCAUCCUGGGGCUGGAGCAGGUCCCAAGGGUAUGGCUGUUCGCCAUUUAAAGCGGUACGCGAGCUGGGUUCAGAACGUCGUGAGACAGUUCGGUCCCUAUCUUCCGUGGGCGUAGGAAAGUUGAGAAGAUUUGUCCCUAGUACGAGAGGACCGGGAUGAACGUACCACUGGUGUACCAAUUGUUCUGCCAAGAGCAUCGUUGGGUAGCUACGUACGGAUGAGAUAAGAGCUGAAAGCAUCUAAGCUCGAAGCCAACUUCAAGAUGAACUUUCCCUGAAGAUCCCAGUAAGACUAACUGGUUGAUAGGCUAGAUGUGUAAGCAUAGAAAUAUGUUUAGCUGACUAGUACUAAUAGAUCGUUCGGCUUAUUAUU
rnacentral:rRNA from 2 species